ensembl:lncRNA
GCCCAGAGCAGACACUCAGUAGGAUUCACUGGCUCUACAGGCACCGACAGUGGCAGGAGAUUGUUAUUGCUGCCUGAUUUUAUAGACGGGGACUUGGAGGGCCCAGAGGUUCUACCCAAGGCAGAGUCAGGGCCCGAAUCCUUUGUCUUCCCCCACCUCCCCAACUGCCUCUCAAGGAGUGGCUGAAACAAGCUCAGAGGGAGGGAGGGGACUCUGGGACCGUCCCGGCCAGUGAGGAGACGGCCUGCACGUCCUUCUACAGCCCCCGGGAACUGCGCGGUCUCAAGGGCUUGUACCCAUGGACGGGGCUGCAGACGGCGGACUGUAGUAUUCAGAGCUGCCUCAAAGUCUGAGGUCUCCAGCAGUCCCCAAAGCCACGGCGCCUUGAGACAAACACAGAUUUCAGCCAAACAGGACACGGUUGCUGGCUCUCCACCCCUGAUCUUUGACAGGAGUCUUAAACUCCCUAAACCUCAGUUUCUUUGUCUGUAGAAGUAAUUGCUUCUGGCCUGGGAGUCCUGUGACGAGUACAUAAAAUGGCAUACACAAACCGCUUGGCAGAGCAAGUGCCAAGAGCGAUCAGCAGCUGCUCCCACCCGCCCUGUGGGUGAGGGUGAAGACCCUGGGCUCAGGGAGGUCAAAGACUGGCCAGGAUCCCACAGCCAUCAGGCAGUGGAAGCCGGCGGGUGUUCUUUCCUCCCUUCGGCCUUGGCAGAGCCCACGACCACAUGGGGUUCCUGACUCAAGAGAGGUGGAGGAGGGCCUUCAUAGAGAAGCUGCUGGAAGAGACUGGAUUAAUCCUCAUUCCUUCUCUACGGAGGCAAAUUCUCUGUUGCUCUGGAAGAACUCGCUCCUCACUUUACUGGACCACUUGCUCUGUGCUUGUCCCUGCUGUUAGCAGAGCUGGGAGGACAGUGAGAAUAUGGGGGUGGGGGGCAGGCAGGGCAGAACACUACUUAGGGCCCAUGGGGAGGCCACUAGUUCACGUGCCUGCCACAUCACCCUGCUCUUCUGACCCCAGGGGUCUCUGCCCCAGUGGAUCUGUGUGGCCUCCUGGGUGACCCUGUGCUGCCGGAGUGUCCCCUGUCUGUGCAUUUCUCUGCAUUCCCAAGGGCUUGUCCCUCCUCCACACGCCCAGCUGCCACUCCCAAUCCCAGGCUCUGAGAGGAGCUGGGCCAGGGGCUAGAGCAAGGUUGGGGGCGAUGGUUCGGAAGAGAUUGAGCACUCGGUCUCAGGCCUUAAUGGCCAUGUCAGCCCGAGGGCCAGUGGCUGCCAAAUGAUGGAUGGGGUGGGCGCCAUCCUCCACCCGCCAGAGCACAGGGCUCCAGCCCCCCCCCCCAACCCCAGCAGCCUCCUGAGCACCUUCCCUCACUCAGGCCUGGGCCCUGGCUAUGCGAGGGGGCCACAGAGAAGGUAGGGGCUGCGUUGCCCUCCCUCGGCCCGAUGCUGGCCCUGCUGGGGGUGGAGAGCAGCUGCCUGCUCCGGCUCCAAGUCUAGCUUCCCUGAGAUCUGAGAACUCCUGGGCCCCAGGGGACAAAGACCAGAGCUUCAAGGGGGUGUGUGCGCAGAGGAGAAAGGAGACAGAACCCAGCAGUUUCUCCCUCGGGGUAAGGAAGAGUGCCCCCCACUUCCAGCACUCACACCCUAAAGUUGAUCAGCCAGCAAGUAUGGAAAAAGGGAAUAGAAAGGAAGGAGGAUGCCAACAGAGGUGUCCGGUUCUUUUCUUUUUAUGGGGGGUGGGGGGCACACCGGCAGCCUCUCACCUCCUGCACGCCCUCCCCCGGGUGUGCCAAAAGCCCUAGGGUGUUCCCCUGCACUGUGGGUGAGCAGGCUCUGGGUGGCGGGGGCCCAGCCAGCGAGGCAUGGGGUGGGGUGGGGCACUGCAUGUGGGGGAGACAGCCAGUGUCCAUGGGAACCUGGAGUCUGGCUAGAGAAGGCAGGGUCCUGGGUGUUGGAAGCCUGGGCUCAGCCACAACCGGCUGUGAAUCCUUUGCCUUCCUCCUCCUCCAGGCCUCAAUGUCCCCAUCUCUCCUGGGAGAGGUGGUCCUGAAGUUGUCUGCUGACUUUCGGAAGCUCUCGAAAACUCCCUCCCACUGCAAGCGACAGUGUGGCUUCUAGUGGCUCGUCCAUUUAAGUCACAGCUGUCGUCCUUUCCCCAAAGGGAAAUGCGGACCUCACGUUUCCCAGUGGAAGCCCAGACUGCCUGCUCAGGUACAGAGGGGGACCCUCCAAGAGCCCCCCCACCCUCCCCCCACCCAUCUCCCCACGCUCCUCCCUGCCAAUCCCCACUCCCCACAGUCACCUACAUUCUCAGCCAGGAGCUGCCAACCACCUGCAGGAGAGGAGAGACCUCUGGGAAUGAGAGUGUGUGGUUUCGAGGGCCAGCUGUGUGACCCUGGGCAAGUCACUGGGUUAUCUUUCCUUCCUUCAUAACCACAAGUAAGGAGAGGAAAUUGGAAGGUCUUUCCAGGAUUUGUUAAAAUUAAGGCCCUCGAGCUCACCCCAGCCUUCCCUGACCCCUGUCCUACCCCGUGCUGGGGGCAGUGCCCUCAUCAUUUCGUGAGCUCUAGGAUUUCUACCUGGGGCGCGGGUCGAGCCCUCGGGCAGGUCCUGGUCUUCCAUCCCUCAGGGUUCCCUUGGGGAGCCAGGGCACUUCGGAGCCUCUGGUCAGUACCCCGACGCUCCCGCAGACGCCGCCGACGGAAGGAAGGAAGGAUGGAAGGAAACAGGGUCAAAGCCGCAGCAGCCUCUUCCGCUCUGGGGGAGUCUGCGGGCUGCCGGGGGCUCCCACUUCCCCUGAGGCUCCUGACCCUUC